rnacentral:lncRNA from 1 species
UGCAAGGAUCGAACACUUGCUAAUGUCAUGGCUGGUCUUAUCGAUACUAUGCAAGUUGUCUUUGAAGAUAGACGAUUCAGUACUGUGCCAUCGAUGGAUGAUCUGAGUACCUUAUCAUAUGCCUAGCACACCUCAUAUCCUAGCUUCUCCAACUUCGAUCUCUUCGUAGAUGAUACAUCUAUGUCACAGAGGUUGGGUGAGCCGAGAGAUACAUCACAGC